rnacentral:pre_miRNA from 10 species
GUGCAGGUGGUGCAUCUGUGUGGGAUGGGAUGGCAGUGUGUGUUAGCUGGUUGAAAUUCUGACAUCAGCUAACAUGCAGUUGCUAUCCUUUUCCACAUACCUUGAUCAUCGAAGUGG